CUGAUCUGACUCUGAUCUGUGUUUCUCUCCUCAGGCAGUGGAGUAUGACGGCUGGUUGGACCCGGUUUUCCUCACUCAGUUCAUCCUCUCUUGCAUCAUGGGGUUUGUUCUGAUGUACUCCACCGUGCUUUGUACUCAAUACAACUCUGCUCUAACCACCACGAUCGUCGGCUGCAUCAAGAAUGUGCUGGUGACGUACAUCGGGAUGGUGUUCAGCGGAGACUACAUCUUCUCCUGGA